GGAGUAAACGCUUGAUAAAAUAUGUGUCUCUCUUUAGACAUUAAAAGCAAUGAAAUAAAAAAUGAUUUUUUAAAAAUAGGAUUAUUAUUAAGAAAUAGAAACGAAAAUUCGAAUCACACAUAGAAAGCAUUUUCAGUGCGACGAGUGUGAUUAAAUCGAGGUGAAGAUGUGCAGAAAUCAGUAGGACGCCGACGUGAAGACAUGGUCGCCGGCGGGAAGGCUAUUUCAGGUAGAAACAAGGUUCAGCAGCAAGGCUGAUUCCGAACUUUCUUCUCACCAGAAGAAGAUUUUCAAAGUUGAUCAUCUUUAUCGGUGUCGCAAUAGCUGGAAUCACCGCCGGUCGGCCGUGUGCUUUCUAGGUAUAUGUUUUCGGAGUAUAUCAAUUAUGGUUAUUCUUAUGAAUCAGCGUUGCCUGUUGAUCGACUUGUUGUUCAGCUCACUGAUAAAGCUCAGGAUUUUUCAAUAUGAAUGUAGUUUGGAUUUUCGUGUGACAAGAAUGAAGGAGAAUGUUGUGCUAAAUUUUUUCAAAGGAAGUCAAGGUUUGAAGGUGUAUUUGUGAUGUCUUUUUUCUUUUGUUAUUAUAUUAUUUAUGCUCUUCUUUUUUCAACUUGUUCUUGAUUUAUUGUGAUACGAACCCUUUGAAGAUGUCGUAUAUUUUAUCAGGAUAUUUCAAAAUGAAUAAAGAAGAGGAACUUUCACGUAUAGUCGCUCAAAAAUAGUCUAAUUACUCUCCGUAGCUAUAGUUUGAUAAUUACAAUUCGUAGUUACAUGCCAUAGAGAGGAGAGAAGUGAACGAGAGAGGGUAAAGAGUGGGAGAGACGUGAAUUUUAUAUGUGUAUCGUUUAGAUAAUUGUAUAUUAUCCAUAUGUAUUUGCAUAUAUGGCAAGCGAGAUUGGGAGGUGUCGGAGAGAGAUGAGAAAGAUUGAGAGAGGAAGGAGAUAGACGAGCGAGAGAGUGCCAAGAGUGGGAGAGAGAUAAAUUAUAUAUGUAUAUCGGUUAACUAAUUGUAUAUUAUACAUAUGCAUCUGUAUAUACGAUAGGCGAGAUUGGGAGAGGGAGGAGAGAAGUGAACGCGAGAGGGCAGAGAGGGAAAUUGUAUAUGCAUAUUUGUUGUGGUUCACUUAAAGUUAGUUCUGGAUGGAUUUCUCGAUCAUUAAAAAAUGGGGAGAGGCAAAGGGAAGAAAGAGGGUUUUAUAUGUUGUAGUUAGGGGUGUCAAAAAUGAGCACAUAGGUAACCCGCUCAAAAUUUUAAGGGUUGGACUCAAGAUAAUUUGAAUUGAGUUCAAUAUCAACCCAUUCAAGCAUAACGUAUUUGAAGAGAAUUCUUGAUUGAGCUCAAUUCACUCUCCAAUUUCAACCCGUUUUAAAACCUUUUAUUAAGAUAUCUUCCUAUAUUUAAGAUAUAAUUAUUAUCUAUUUAACAUCUUUUAGUGUUUA